UGGGGAAUAUUGGACAAUGGGCGCAAGCCUGAUCCAGCCAUGCCGCGUGAGUGACGAAGGCCUUCGGGUUGUAAAGCUCUUUUGGCGGGGACGAUAAUGACGGUACCCGCAGAAUAAGCUCCGGCUAACUUCGUGCCAGCAGCCGCGGUAAUACGAAGGGAGCUAGCGUUGUUCGGAAUCACUGGGCGUAAAGCGCACGUAGGCGGAUUUGUCAGUCAGGGGUGAAAUCCCGGGGCUCAACCUCGGAACUGCCUUUGAUACAGCAAGUCUUGAGUUCGAGAGAGGUGGGUGGAAUUCCUAGUGUAGAGGUGAAAUUCGUAGAUAUUAGGAAGAACACCGGUGGCGAAGGCGGCCCACUGGCUCGAUACUGACGCUGAGGUGCGAAAGCGUGGGGAGCAAACAGGAUUAGAUACCCAUGUAGUCCCUGAGCGGGCUGGCAAGGCGCAU
rnacentral:rRNA from 1 species